GUCUCUUUGUAUAUUAUAAAUAAAGAGUCGGGCCUGCUCGGUGAACAUAUUGUUUUAACAGCUGCGGUAUUUUAACUGUACUAAGGUAGCAUAAUAAUUUGCCUUAUAAUUUGAGGCUAGAAUGAAUGGUUUGACGAAGGUUAAACUGUCUCUAUUUUAUUUUUUAGAAUUUAAUUUACAAAGUGAAAAAGCUUGUAUGUCUUAAAGGGACGAGAAGACCCUAAUGAGCUUUAAUUUUAUUAGUUUUCUUUAUUAUAAUGAAGAGAUGAUUAUAUAAAUUUUAAUUGGGGUGAUUAAGGAAUAAUAUGUUAUAGGUUAGUAACUUCCUUAAAUUAAAUAUUGUUAGAUAAAUUAACCAAUGAUAUUGCUUAUAAUAGAGUUACCAUAGGGAUAACAGCGUAAUUUAUUUUGAGAGUUCUUAUUGAAAAAUGAGAUUGCGACCUCGAUGUUGGAUUAAAGUAACCUUAAGGUGCAGAAGCUUUAAAAGGUAAAUCUGUUCGAUUUUUAAAACUUUACA
rnacentral:rRNA from 1 species